UGGGGAAUAUUGGGCAAUGGGGAAAACCCUGACCCAGCAACGCCGCGUGAGUGAGGAAGGUUUUCGGACCGUAAAGCUCUGUCGAGCGGGAAGAAAUGUAUCGUGGCUAAUAUCCAUGAUAUUUGACGGUACCGCUAAAGGAAGCACCGGCUAACUCCGUGCCAGCAGCCGCGGUAAUACGGGGGGUGCAAGCGUUGUUCGGAAUUAUUGGGCGUAAAGAGCGUGUAGGCGGCUGAAUAAGUCAGAUGUGAAAUCCCUGGGCUUAACCCAGGAAGUGCAUUUGAAACUAUUCAGCUUGAGUAGGGGAGAGGAAAGUGGAAGUCCUGGUGUAGAGGUGAAAUUCGUAGAUAUCAGGAGGAACACCGGUGGCGAAGGUGACUUCCUGGCCCUAUACUGACGCUGAGACGCGAGAGCGUGGGUAGCAAACA
rnacentral:rRNA from 1 species